UCUUUUCUGGUUGCAGCUUGAGUAAUCAAGCUGAUGGCUGGUGACUUUUUGGUCACCAGCCU
rfam:Escherichia hermannii NBRC 105704 DNA, contig: EH10570425.